AUGUCAGUGGUGUGUGGGGCGGCAAGAAAUGAAGUUAUAUGCUCUCCAAAAAUAGCAACAAGAACUGAUGAGGCUGCAGAGAACCAAAAGGAUGGUGUUGAAAAUAAUCAAUUGUCAAUAGUUCCUUCAGGACAGGUUGAGGACUUAGGUGGAUAUUUAUCAAUAGAUCCUCCAGAGAUGCAUGGGAAGUUCAAAGUUGUAAUGUCAGGUCUUAGGAAGACGGACUUGAUGAAUGCUUUUACAGCCGUUUCAACGUCCAACGACGUGUCGGUUGCUUCCGCAAACAGCACGCCUGGUUCUGCAACAACCAAGAUGCAAACUCCUGAAGAUUCAGGAAUGCAGAUUGUUGCCACUCCAGCACCAAACCAAGUGUUUGCAGGUACAUCUUCAAGGACUUCUCCAGUUAGCCUCAACCACCAGAUGUCUGCUGUCGAGCUUGACAUUAGGGAGGAGAUAGAGGAGGCGGCUAUCAACCUCAACGUCACUAUGUCACAGGGAUCAUUUAGCACACAGCCUCAGCCAAAGAGGGUGGUGAGGCCUGGGAAAUAUGCAAGGUCUCCCUUUGUAAUGGGUUAUGACCCUCCUACUAGAGCUCCAGCGAAUGUAGUGCAGAUAUACAAGCUAUUCUAUAGGGAGAACGCGAACAAGCUAAAAGAUAUGUGGAUUAUCAGCACCAACCCAAAAUACAUGGACAUCAGUGGGGAGCGGCUCCGUGAGAUGCUAGGCGAUGGUGGUGAGGUGGAUAGUGUGCUGAUGACAUUGGUGAUGAGAAGGUACCAACAGAUGGAUGCGGUCUUUGCUGCUGCAAAAGGGGAAGGAUGUUGGCGACAUUGGCUGGAGCCAGAUUUUGUGAACCAUGUUAGCAGAGGAGACAACAUUUCAAAGCUGAGGUACAUCAAGGACAUGUUCGUGGGGCCGCAUAUCACUUACGAGGUUCACAAGUGCACCGAGGUUGUGUUGCCAGUUAAGUUCGACUUCAAAUGGUCUACAUACAUAUGGGACUUUCCAAGGGCGAAGAUUUUUGUCCUCGACCCAACAAUGAACAAUGGUGACGAGUCUGAUAAGGUAAUUCAACUCAGGCACAGGAAGGUUGCAGACGAGCUUCACAAGGCUAUAGAGAUAUGCAUAAAGUCAUUCUUCUCUGGAUGGGAGCCAGACAUGAGGUCGUGGAAUACAUGCUUCCCAAGGGGCCUGGCAAUAGGGAUAUGCAGAAAGUAA
rnacentral:rRNA from 1 species